UAGUCCAACUCGCCUCGCCUGUGGAAUGCAGCGACGAGCCGACGAGCGAGCGUGCGCGGGGCAGCAACGCCUGGGAUGAGGAUGCGUCGGCGGCCGCCGAGACGCCGCCGGAGCGCGGUACGCGCCGAGGUCGAGGGGCACAGUACAAUAGGAGACUAAGCAAAGUCAACUUAUGCAGGUCAAUCUUUUUAAUUCUCAGAACAUGGCCCAAGACACCAAUUAUUGAGCUUAAGGAUGAGGAUGCAAAUAUAGGUACAAUGUUUUCAGCUCUUGGGCAUGUGUAUAUCAUUCAUAUUACUGCUCUUCCUCUACUGAAGCCUUCAUCGAUCGUGGUUCACUUGCUGGCUUGUUACAGGUCCGGUGAAGAACACAAUCAGCUAGAACUUCCCACACAUACAAGAAAAUAUGGCAGAAGCUGCAGUAGUUCAGGCCCUCAUCAAGAUUGGCACUACUUUCGGAGAUGCAGCACUGCAACCGCUCAAAGACAUCAUAAAGAAAGAAGUAGCUUUGUUGCAGGAACUACCAGAGCUCGCAAAAUCCAUUGGAAGGGAACUGGACAUGAUUAAUAGCUUCCUCAUGCAAGUACGGGCGAAGAUCCACAGCACUGACAAUGAAGUUCUGAAACGCUGGGUGGUGAGAGUACGCCAGGUGGCCUACCAUGUUGAGGACAUAAUAGAUGAGUACUCCUACAAUGUUGCUCUGUUGCAGGAGGAAAGCUAUUUAAGUAGAAUGAUGCGUGCAACCUACUAUGGUACAACUUUCCAUGGCAUUGCUACUGGACUGAAAGAUGUAGACAGUGAGAUCAAACAAUUAUCGGGAAUGAAGACAAAAUAUGCAGAGUACUUCAGCGAGUUGCAUAGCAACACUAGUGCUAACACACAAGCUCAUCUCUGCCGUGAUAGCUCCCUCCAUAUGAUCAAAGAAGGCAUUGUUGGCAUGACAGAAGAGAUAGAGUUAUUGAAUUCGUGGUUAGCACCAAAUGAUCCCACUAGAGCGGUGUUAUCUGUGUGGGGUCUGUUUGGGCUGGGGAAAACAACUCUUGUCAGGAAGGUGUAUGAAUCUAUGAAAGAGCAGAAGAGCUUUCAAUGCUAUUCCUGGAUUGAGGUACCACACGAGUACAACAAUGAUGUUACAUUAAGGCAAUUAAUAAGGGAUCUAGCACAAGAACAAAGCCAAGUGUCUGCAAACCUCGAUAGUAUGUAUGGCAGCCAGCUGGUUGAUAUAUUAUGUGAUGUAUUAUCAGAUAAGAGGUACUUAAUUGUUCUUGAUAAUGUCUGGGAUGCUGAUGCAUUUCGUGGUAUAUCAAGCUUCUUGAUUGACAAUCGUAAUGCUAGUCGAAUUAUCAUUACGACUAGGACAAGUGAUGUUGCUUCACUGGCUCAAGACAAAUACAAGCUCAAGCUUAAGCCCUUGGGUGAUGAUGAUGCAAUGGCACUAUUUUGUAGAAGGGCCUUUCACAAUGACAACAUGGAGUGCCCUUCACACCUUAAGGAUCUGUGUAAACAAAUUGUGAAAAAGUGUGGUGGCUUACCAUCAGCCAUCUAUGCUAUAGGCAAUGUGCUUGCUGUCAGAGAAAAGACUGAAGUGGCAUGGAAAAUUAUGAAUGAUCAAUUCCAUUGUAUGUUAGAGGACAACCCUGGCUUGGGAGAAGUGAGGAGUGCCCUAAGUGUUAGCAUCUUGUUCCUUCCAAGGCAUCUCAAGAACUGCUUCCUCUACUGCAGCUUGUUUCCACAGAACUACCGCUUGUCUCGUGAAAGCCUUGUGAAGCUGUGGACAGCAGAAGGGUUCAUAACAAAGAGAGGAAACAGCACUCUGGAGGAAGUUGCAGAUGAGUACUUGAUGGAGCUGAUCCGAGGAAGCUUGUUGCAACUCUUGGAGACAGAUGAGAUCGGUAGAGUGGCCUUCUGCAAAAUGCAUGACAUUGUGCGUGACUUGGCUCUCUCUUACUCCAGAAAGGAGAUGUUUGGCCUUAGUGAGGGAGACCUCCAAACAGAUCAGAAGGAAGAUGUUCGACGCCUGUCAAUAUCCAAGGGAAACAAGAAUGUGGGACCAAGCUUGGAUUUUCCUCGCCUACGAACUUUCAUCGCUACCAAUGGAGCUGCAGAGUCAGAUUUAUUGAAUUCUCUCAUACCAAAAUCGAAGUACCUUGCUGUUCUGGAGCUCCAGGACUCACCCAUCAACAUAAUUCCAGCAAAUAUUGCAGACUUGUUCAACCUGCGCUAUCUUGGGUUGCGGAGGACCAAUGUGAAAUCACUUCCCAAAUCUAUUGAGAAGCUCCACAAUCUGGAGACUCUGGACCUCAAAUACACUGGGAUAGAUGAGCUGCCCAAGGAGAUCUGUAAACUGAAGAAACUGCGGCACUUGUUUGCCGACAAGAUCAUUGCUAGUCGCAGUGUGUUCAGAUACUUCAAAGGUAUGCAGCUGCCUCAAGGAUUUUCCCACAUGGAUGAAAUUCAGACCCUUGAAACAGUUGAGGCAACCAAGGAUUCAAUUGAGCUGCUUGGGAAGCUGAUUGCACUUAGAACCCUGUGGGUCGAGAAUGUGCAUCGUGCCGACUGCACAAAGUUGUUUCUUUCUUUGUCAACAAUGGUGAAUCUCUCCAGUCUUCUCAUCAGCGCCAGCAAUGACCACGAGGCCCUUGACUUCGAUGCAUUCAAUCCUUCCGAGAUGAAUCUCCAGAAGCUCAUCAUUAGAGGCUGUCUUGAUAACGACACAUUUGGCAAACCUGUGUUCAGCAAGCAUGGUUCACACAUCAAGUACUUGUCACUCAGUUCCUCAAGAAUCGGCAAUGAUCCAUUUCCGCUGCUUGCGGAGAACAUGCCGAACCUCAUAUACCUGAGCAUCCGGAAGUGGUGCUGUGCUGAGGAAGUGGCUCUCCGUGCAGGGAAGUUCCCUCGCCUGACGACUCUCUUCCUUGGUGACAUGAAGCAGGUGCGCAGCAUUGUCAUCGAGCAGUCAGCUGUGGGUAGCUUGGAGGCAUUGUACCUGGUGUCCCUGACGGCUAUGGCAGCAGUGCCAAGUGGCUUGGAGCUCGUUGCGUCACUCAGAAAGCUCACUGUGUGGGGGCAGUCAGAUGAGUUCAAGUUGGAGUGGAAGAGGGAGAACUGGGAAUCGAAGCUGCACCAUGUGCCGGAAAUUCGCGUUUGAUCGAUCAAGAAUUGCUCCCGGGGACCAGAUGACAUGGUUGUUACUAACCAAUGGACCAUGCUGGUCUACUUCCGUGAUUUUUAAUAUGGUCAUCUUCAGAGCGACAUAUUGGGUCAGAAGCUGGUCCUUGCUGCUUAAUGAAGAGGAUGACAACUUGACGAAGGAAUGCUGCAAACUGCUAGAGAUGAGAGUGCUGGAGUUUUAUUCCAGAUAUGGUUGGAACUUCCCAAGGAGAAUACAAGAUUAGCUUCUCACCUGGAGGCUGUAUACUGCAGGGCAUCAGCAUGUUUGUUUGCUAGUUUGCAAGGUGUUGGGUGUUCUUGUUUUCCAGUUAAAAUGAAUGUUUUGAUGGUUGUUUACUCAUGUAAUGGGAGAGCUUCAAUGCUCAUGUAUGAACUUGGUUGGCUGCGUACAUUUUUUUUGGACGUAGAGGCCGGGUUUUUAAUCCAUUAUAAAAAAAAUCGGCCACCGAUGGGCGCCACUAACCGAU